GCAUUGGUGGUUCAGUGGUAGAAUCUUUGCCUGCCAUGCAGGAGACCCGGGUCCGAUUCCCGGCCUAUGCA